rfam:Colletotrichum gloeosporioides Nara gc5 unplaced genomic scaffold scaffold180, whole genome shotgun sequence.
GGCCGGCUGGCGCAAUGGUAGCGCGUCAGCCUCCUACCUAGAGCCCCCUCACAGGGUCUCAGGGUUGAUAGCUGAAGGUUGUGGGUUCGAGUCCCACGUUGGUCG